AACGACUCUCGACAACGGAUAUCUCGGCUCUCGCAUCGAUGAAGAACGUAGCGAAAUGCGAUACUUGGUGUGAAUUGCAGAAUCCCGUGAACCAUCGAGUCUUUGAACGCAAGUUGCGCCAGAAGCCACUAGGCCGAGGGCACGUCUGCCUGGGUGUCACGC
rnacentral:rRNA from 1 species